GUUAGGAACAGGGUUAGGGUUAGGAACAGGGUUAGGAACAGGGUUAGGGUUAGAAACAGGGUUAGGAACAGGGUAAGGAACGGGGGUUAGGGUUAGGAACAGGGUUAGGGUUAGAAACGGGGUUAGGUUCAGGGUAA